rnacentral:rRNA from 1 species
CCUACGGGCGGCAGCAGUGGGGAAUAUUGGGCAAUGGAGGCAACUCUUACCCAGCAAUGCCGCGUGAAUGAAGAAGGUCUUCGGAUUGUAAAGUUCUUUAAUUGGGGACGAAAAAAAUGACGGUACCCAAGUAAUAAGCCGCGGCUAACUACGUGCCAGCAGCCGAGGUAAUGCGUAGGGGGCAAGCGUUGUACGGAAUGACUGGGCGUAAAGGGUGUGUAGGCGGUGUAGCAAGUUAGAAGUGAAAUACCAAGGGCUUAACCCAGGCGCUGCUUCUAAAACUGCUAUACUUGAGUGCAGGAGAGGAAAGUGGAAUUCGUAGUGUAGCGGUGGAAUGCGUAGAUAUCAGGAGGAACAUCAGUGGCGAAGGCGACUUUCUGGACUGUAACUGACGCUGAGGCACGAAAGUGUGGGGAGCAAACAGGAUUAGAUACCCCAGUAGUC